UUUUGAAGAGUUUUUUACUGAAUAAAAGAAAGGAAACUAUGAACAAACGUGAAACAAAUUAAUCACUGACGCCGGGUAAAGAUCAAUUGACAAGCAAAAGCGCACAUUGCACAUAAUAUGUGAUACGUAUCUGUGCCAAAGCACUAAUUUCUAUUAUAACACCUGCUAUUCGCCCACGAUGGAUUGACAUAAUAACAAUAAGACUUAUUGAAUAAGUAUUACCACAACAGGUGUCACUGUGUGAACAGUGAACAUAUUCCGUCGAAUGGAAUACAAUUAAUAUUGUUUGUGUUGUAACAUCGCCAUAACAACCAUGUUAAAUCUGAUUUAACACAACUUAACUUGGAACAACAUGUUGUAUUUAAAUCACAGGUCUGUUGAAAAUUUUAUAUCUGCGGAAAUACUGUUACCUGUGAACUUAAAACGAUUCUAAUAAUCACAGUUGGCUGAAUACCACCUUGGACAUAAGAUUAUAAGAAUGUUUCAACAUGCAAUUCAUUAGUUCUGACU